rnacentral:rRNA from 1 species
UUGGAGGGCAAGUCUGGUGCCAGCAGCCGCGGUAAUUCCAGCUCCAAUAGCGUAUAUUAAAGUUGUUGCAGUUAAAAAGCUCGUAGUUGAAUUUCGGGAUUAGUACGUUGGUCGUGCCUUAGGUACGUACUGGUGUUACUGGUUCCUACCUUCUGAUGAACCAUCAUGUCAUUAAUUUGGUGUGGUGGGGAAUCAGGACUGUUACUUUGAAAAAAUUGAGUGUUUAAAGCAGGCUCGCGCUUGAAUACAUUAGCAUGGAAUAAUGAAAUAGG